UACAGAGGCCUCGAGCGUUAGGCGGAAUCACUGGGCUUAAAGCGUGUGUAGGCGGAUUGGUAAGUACCUUGUGAAAUCCCACAGCUUAACUGUGGAACUGCUCGGUAUACUGCUGAUCUUGAGCCACUCAGGGGCUACCGGAACAAAUGGUGGAGCGGUGAAAUGCGUAGAUAUCAUGUGGAACGCCAAUGGUGAAAACAGGUAGCUGGGGGUGUGCUGACGCUGAGACACGAAAGCCAGGGGAGCAAACGGG
rnacentral:rRNA from 1 species